rnacentral:rRNA from 1 species
GAUGAACGCUGGCGGCGUGCCUAAUACAUGCAAGUCGAGCGAACGGACGAGAAGCUUGCUUCUCUGAUGUUAGCGGCGGACGGGUGAGUAACACGUGGAUAACCUACCUAUAAGUCUGGGAUAACUUCGGGAAACCGGAGCUAAUACCGGAUAAUAUCUUGAACCGCAUUGUUCAAAAGUGAAAGACGGUCUUGCUGUCACUUAUAGAUGGAUCCGCGCUGCAUUAGCUAGUUGGUAAGGUAACGGCUUACCAAGGCAACGAUGCAUAGCCGACCUGAGAGAGUGAUCGGCCACACUAGAACUGAGACACGGUCCAGACUCCUAAGGGAGGCAGCAGUAGGGAAUCUUCCGCAAUGGGCGAAAGCCUGACGGAGCAACGCCGCGUGAGUGAUGAAGGUCUUCGGAUCGUAAAACUCUGUUAUUAGGGAAGAACAUAUGUGUAAGUAACUGUGCACAUCUUGACGGUACCUAAUCAGAAAGCCACGGCUAACUACGUG